rnacentral:rRNA from 1 species
GAUGAACGCUGGCGGCGGGCCUAAUACAUGCAAGUCGAGCGGACAGACGAUAAGCUUUCGCCUCUAACGGUAGCGGCUGGCGGGUGGGUGAGACGUGCAUAACCUACCUAUAAUUCGUGGAGGAUUUCGGGAAGACAGAGCCAAUACUGGCUAAUAUGUUCAACGGCAGGAAGCAGUAGAUAUUCGCACCUUUCCUGUCAGUUAUAGAUGGGGUCGGAUUAGCUAGUUGACGGGGUAAAGGCCUACCAAGGCAACGAUACGUAGCUGAUCUGAGAGGAUGAUCGGCCACACUGGAACUGAGACACGGUCCAGACUCCUACGGGAGGCAGCAGUGGGGAAUAUUGGGCAAUGGGCGAAAGCCUGACGCAGCAAUGCCGCGUGAGUGAUGAAGGCCUUCGGAUCGUAAAACUCUGUUAUUAGGGAAGAACAACUGUGUAAGAAACUACGGCCGUUUUGACGGUACCUAAUGAGAAAGCACCGGCUAACUACGUG